GCAAGCCUGGUCUAGCGGUUAUGAUUUCUGUCUAACACACAGAAGGUUCUGAGUUCGAUUCUCAGGGUUUGUA
rfam:Rachicladosporium sp. CCFEE 5018 unplaced genomic scaffold Supercontig_8, whole genome shotgun sequence.